UACGGGGGGGGCAAGCGUUGUCCGGAAUUAUUGGGCGUAAAGAGCUCGUAGGCGGUUUGUCGCGUCUGCUGUGAAAACUCGGGGCUUAACUCCGGGCCUGCAAUGGGUACGGGCAGACUAGAGUGCGGUAGGGGAGACUGGAAUUCCUGGUGUAGCGGUGAAAUGCGCAGAUAUCAGGAGGAACACCGGUGGCGAAGGCGGGUCUCUGGGCCGUAACUGACGCUGAGGAGCGAAAGCGUGGGGAGCGAACAGG
rnacentral:rRNA from 1 species